AGAAAUUCUUUCUCCCUAUGUCCCAGCCUACCCCCACUUUACCGAGGCCAACAGCCGCCUCAGAAACCAGAUUCAGGAGCUAACAUGCCCCAGGUCUCACGAGGAUCAGAGACUCCAGAGGCCAGGGAAGGAGAUCAAGGUAGUCAAGCGGGGGUCGUCUCAGAUCUGGUUGUGCUCGAGCUAUGCAAAUGCCUCUCACGGAGAUGCGAGGACCUAUCUAUUAUGAUGACCAGGGCCACAUCCGGAGGGGGCAACAGACUUUCAUCUAUCAGCCCUUUUCAACCACUGAUCUACUAAACUGGAAACACUCUGAACCCUGCCAUCUUGCUCCUGGUAUCAGAGAGCCCUGUCGUGCAUAACUGUGUAGAAGUGUUGGACUCGGUUUACUCCAGCAGACCUGAUCUCCGGGACCAGCCUUGGGCAUCAGUAGACUGGAAGCUAUAUGUGGACAGGAGCAGCUUCAUCAACCCACAAGGAGAGAGAUGUGCGGGAUAUGUGGUGGAACCCUGGACACUGUCGUUGAAGCCAGAUCGUUGCUCCAAGGCACUUCAGCCCAGAAAGAUGAGCUCAUUGCUUUAAUUUGGGCCUUAGAACUCAGUUAAGGCCUUCUACGGUCCCAGGCUUUCUGCUGCAUACACUGAAGGGCCACGAAGUACAGUCAUCUGGACUUGGCACCUGGAAUACAAGGAUGGAAAGCAUCAUUUCUGCCAGCUUCUUAUGGUCCUGAGGCGAGACAGUCAUGAGAGAGGAAAACUGCAAUGACUUCUGACCACUGCCAGCCUCGCUUCCUGCAUUUUCUUCUUCGGCUUACUCUUGCCAAGUUGGAGUUGCCUAACUUCCAAGAGGGUAUUUGCUCUUUUUUUUUUCUCACUCCACAAACUCUUCCCAGGUAGUUCAGUCCACUCCCAUCUACCAGUCACUAUACGCCGAUGAAUGCCAAUAUUAUUAUUUCCAGCUUAGACAUUGUUCUUGGAUUGCAGAUGUGAGGUUUGACUUGUUUACUAGACAUUGCUGGCUGAGGAUCCCUAGCAUAACAUGGCCCAAAUUCAAUUUAUUUCCAAAGCUGUCUCAUCUCCUUUGUUCUCUGUAAUGAUGUUGCUAUCCAUUCGAUCAACAUACUCAGAAAUAUCACCCCCUCCUUCCUUCUUCCAAGAUAAGUGAGUUGCUCACGACAUGAUCAUGUUUUGGCAGUGUACUCUGUCCAUUCCCAUCACUUAGUAAGAAUCAUCUAGGUUAUGCUGAAGUAUGAAGUUAAUCUCCAAAUUUCUCUGGCUCAGUACAGAAAAAGUCCAUUUCUCCCUUCUGCAAUGCACCCAAUGCAGGUCUGCAGGGUCUCUGCUGUGCGUUGUCCCUCAGGGACUCAGGCUGAAGAGGCCCCCUUGUCUUAUCUGGCCACCUCCUCUGCACAUGGCUCAGGAUUUUCCAGGCAAGGGGUUGAGCAGAGGCUUUUCAGUGCUGGGCCUGGAUGUGACAUAAGAUGCUUCUGCUCACAGCCUUGUGGUCAGAACAAGUCACAUCAUCCCUCCUACUUGCAGGGGUGCUGGGCAGCGUAGUCAUCCACAGAUCAGGAGAGGGAGCAGAGGCAGGUGUUCCCGGGCUGCAGCGAUCUCCACUGCACUGCUGUGGGCUGAACUGUGCCCUCCACCCCACCAAGCUUAUAUGCUGCCAGCCUCACCCUCCACACCUUAGAAUGUGGCUGUAUCUCGACAUAGGGUCCUUACAGAGGUAGUUAAGUUAAAGCAGGGUCAUUAGGGUGGGCCCUAAGGUACUCUGACUGGUGUUUUUAUGAGAAGAGGAGAUUAGGACUUACAGGGAGAGACACUAGGUAUGUGAGCACACAGAGAAAAGACCAUGUGAAGACGAGAAGAAGGCAACUGUCUCCAAUCCAGACGGAGAUGCCAGGCACAGCCCUUCUGUCACAACCCUCAGAAGGAACCAACCCUGCCGACACCUUGGCCUUGUACUUCUGGCCUCCAGAACCGCAGGAAAGUACAUUUCUGUUGCUUAGGCCGCUCAGCCUGUGGCACUUUGUUACAGCUUCUCACCCAGUUCAGGCCCUUUUAAUUGAUUGCUGGGCCUUUGCAGUUGUUUUUGCUUCUAAUAUAUUCAUCUCUCAAUUUAUUUCUGGAGGCUGCCACCCGAGGGGCAGAACUUCAAUUGUGUCCCUAAUGGGAAACCUUGCUGGGAUCAUGUGGUCUACAGCACAAGGUUGCUAAAGCAUCUUCUGCCAGAAUUCUGUGAGUAUCUGGUUAGGUGGGUCUGGAAUAUACUGAGUUUAAAAAAGUUAAAUAGGUUUCUUUACUGCAAGAUGUUUCAGAGACUUUAAUAUGCUACUCUGCUGUAUGAAUCUCCAGGCAGGAAAUCUUAUAAAAUGUGUUUCUGAAAUGAAUUUGCACAUAAGACCCUGUUUUCUUGGAGCCUCUGAUAGUGGGUGAAUGCCCAAUCUCUAGUGGGACUUGCAAGACUUUGCAAUUGGGCAGACAUAUUUCUUUUCACCUUAUCUCCCUCUGUCUCUAUGGAGAUACUCCCAUCGCAUCAAAGUUCUUCUUAUUACUUACACAUGGGGUGGCAGCUGUGACAUGCACCCAUCACAUCUCCCUCCAAGAGACCCUACAGGGGAGCACAGUUGGCUGGCAGCUCCCGGUGUCUGCGCCUCCAGGCCCACUGCUCCCUUGGGCGGCUCCCAGUCAGUGGCAAGGUAGCGGGGUUCUGGAGGAGGCCCAUUUCUACCUGCAGUGGGGAAGCUGGGCUCCUCUAAGAGGCAAACUUCUCAGAGACUCCACUGUGGCUCUGCUGAGGCUGAGAACUGUGCUUUUGGUCUGAGCGCAUUCUCCCCAUUCUCCUUCCUGCCCCCGCUCCUUGCGCCGGCCUUAGACCAGCUAGCUGUCUGCAGGCUUUCCCUGCCCACGGCUGCCCCUCCUUUCCCCUUCACAGCCGUUUCCGCCCACAUGCGCCGUGCAUGGUUAAUCGCACCGUGCCAUCCACUUCUCUGAGGACCUGAGUUAGCACACAAAGUAUGUUCGUUCCCUGUGUCCUCACCUCUCCCUGAUGUAUCUUCUCCCUUCCUCUGCUGGCUGUCUGUUGGGAAUCUUGGGAAAGGAAUUUGUGAGUAAUGUUCCAGGCAGCCUAGCUUUUAGGGUGAAUGACUGGUUCUGACUUAUGUCAAUACAUCCUUGAGUCAUGCCAAGAACUGUGGGAUGAUCAAGGACCACGGACCAGUGUCCUGGAAGCAUCGAUGGCUCCAAGCUGCUGGCACCACUGUCCUUGGAAUUACCGAGUGUGAUUUUUAGAGUUACGGGCACAUUUCUCAGGCCCCAUAAAUGUGAUGGAUGGUGAAUUACAGGACUUUUGAGUAUAUAGUGAGUGGACUACAAUUGUGCUGUAUGUAGCCCACUGCUUUGUGCGUGAGGCGAUUUUAGGCCAUUGAAGGAGUUCAGCUGUCCUCCAUAUGAGUCAUUUCCUAGACAGUGUACUCUGCAAAAGCCCAAAUAACUUCACAAAUGUAACAGUUUAAGCUCUUAUCAGCCAUGUAUACCACACUGAGAUGAGUAUAUCAUAUUUCACAUAAUAUAAAAUAGAAGUAACAUCAUACAUUUCACUCUUAUUUCUCCUUCUGGAAGCCACCAUGCCCUAACUCAUUCUCUUUCUAAAUUUCAAAACAUCCAAACAUUUCCCAGCUUAUUUUAUUUGCAACACAAACUAGCAUUUUUCUUUUUAUUCAUAAGCUAAAAACUUUAUCACUGAAAUCAUUUUAUACUGCCACGUAUCAUUCUUCACUCUCUCAAUACAGUGCUCUUCUCAUUGGUUAGUCAAUAGUUUAUAAGAGUUCCAUAUUUUUAUCUUUGGUUGAGAUGUAUUAAUUGAUUAGAGAUACUUUUACAAUUGUAAUUAAAAAGUUUAAUCAUUAAAUUUAAUGAGACAGGUAUACGGAGGUUCAGAAGAAAUGUAAGGAAGUGAGACAAGAAGAGAAAGGGAGGUUACGAAAAGUGAGAUUAGGAAAAUAAACGGAAGACCACGUUGAUACUGACUGGAAAACGUGGAAGGUUUACUAAUUAAUCAGUGCUAACAUGACCACAAAGCAUAUGUUACUAUUUUUACUAUUGGAACCCACCGUUAAGUAGUCAAAGUUGCAGGAUAAAGUGUCUGAAAACAUAUAAAACAGAUAAAAUGAUGAAAGUGUAAACAGGUACAUCUUUUCUGAAGGCAGUUUGGUGUGCACUAAAGUGCAGAAUAUACCUUGCAAUUCUACUCCCAUGAAUAUAACAGAAAGUAAUUACUGAGUUGGGAGCGGUGGCCCAUGCCUGUAACCCCAGCACUUUGGGAGGCCUAGGUGUUGGAUCAUUUGAGGUCAGGAGUUUGAGACCAGCCUAGCCAACAUGGUGAAACCCCCUCUCUCCUAAAACUACAAAAAUUAGCCGGGCAUGGUAUUGCAUGCCUGUAAUCCCAGCUACUAGAGAGGCUGAGGCAUGAGAAUCGCUUGAACCCGGGAGGCAGAAGUUGCAGUAAGCUGAGAG
rnacentral:lncRNA from 1 species